GUCACCAAAAAGUACUGCUUCGCUCUCCGUGGUUGGAAAUCUUUUCUGAUAUAUCAAGGGAUAUUCCUUCUGAAACUUAAAAAUGAGUUUCUUCCCGUUCCACCUCCACUAUCCUCACCUUUUUUGAAGAACAGAUUCUCCUCUAAUCUAUGGAGAGCCAAUCAGAGCAUGGCCCUGUCUCCAACGCACUCACCCUCAACCACCUAAAAGAUGUGUAUUUAGCCUGAAUGGGGCCAAUCAGAGUCCAUGUGAAGAACUUUUCAAACUGAUUGAUGGAAGACACUGGAGACCUCUUUACUUGAACUCCCUGCAGACUGAGAAGAAGACACUCAGUUGAUUUGAAGGAAUUCAAAUUGUUUAAGCGAAGGAUUUUUGAAGACUGUGGAUCAUCUUGGAUUUUA